GGCUCCUUGUAAAAUAUAGAUAGGGAGUCGAGCCUGCCCAGUGAAUUUUUAACGGCCGCGGUACUCUGACCGUGCAAAGGUAGCAUAAUCAUUUGCCUUAUAAUUGAAGGCUUGUAUGAAUGGUUUGACAAGAAUAUAACUGUCUCUUUAUAAUUAAGUAGAAUUUUAUAUAUAGGUGAAGAAGCCUAUAUAAUAUUGAAAGACAAGAAGACCCUAUCGAGCUUAAAAUAAAUUAGUAAACUAAGUUUAAUAUAACUAAAAAAUUAAUUACUAAAAACUUUGGUUGGGGCGACUGAGGAACAAAUAAAGCUUCCUUUAUUUUAUAAAAACAAUCAGGUAAGGAUCCAAAAGCUUUGAUUAAAGAAAAUAGUUACCGUAGGGAUAACAGCAUUAUCUUUUUUAAGAGUUCUAAUCGAAAAAAAGGUUUGUGACCUCGAUGUUGGACCAGAAUAUCCUAAAGAUGCAGCCGUCUUUAAGGGUUGGUCUGUUCGACCAUUAAAAUUCU
rnacentral:rRNA from 1 species